UGUAGCAUUCACCAUGCAUGUCUCGUGUGAUCCUUGUGCAGGCCGUAUAGCACUAAUUGGACUGCGGUGGUCUGGUGACACCUUCCCUUGUCCAUGGAGGAUCCUCAAUAGGCAAGAACAUAUGCCACCGCUGAUCCGAAGCUCGUGCCAGGGGAAGGGAUUCUGUCAUUGCCUUCUAUGUGGGUGGCGUAGACCACCGUGUGCCGCCUCUUCCAUGGACGCAGCAGCUGCUCCGACCCCGCUGCCGACGCCAUGGAGAUCGUCAAGAUUGCAUUCCUCGGGAAGAUACUCCUUUCGUCCAUCAAACCUAUCGGACAUGAUGGAAAAUCUCCAUCGCGCACGACACCGGUCAUUUUCUCUUGCCAAGCGGUGCUGCAGAAGUUGACGCAGUUUGGGCUUGAAGAUGCACACGAUGGCGCCGUCGUCCUCGUGCUUUCUUCGCUGAUGAAGAUGCACUGGAUGGCGUCGUUGUCCUCGGGCUCUCUCCGCUCAUGAAGAUGCACUGGAUGG